ACACAUGCAAGUCGAGGGGUAUGGUUCUUCGGAACCAGAGACCGGCGCACGGGUGCGUAACGCGUAUGCAAUCUGCCUUUCACAGAGGGAUAGCCCAGAGAAAUUUGGAUUAAUACCUCAUAGUAUAGCGACAUCGCAUGAUGAUGCUAUUAAAGUCACAACGGUGAAAGAUGAGCAUGCGUCCCAUUAGCUAGUUGGUAAGGUAACGGCUUACCAAGGCAACGAUGGGUAGGGGUCCUGAGAGGGAGAUCCCCCACACUGGUACUGAGACACGGACCAGACUCCUACGGGAGGCAGCAGUGAGGAAUAUUGGUCAAUGGGCGCAAGCCUGAACCAGCCAUGCCGCGUGCAGGAUGACGGUCCUAUGGAUUGUAAACUGCUUUUGCACAGGAAGAAACACUGAUUCGUGAAUCAGCUUGACGGUACUGUGAGAAUAAGGAUCGGCCAACUCCGUGCCAGCAGCCGCGGUAAUACGGAGGAUCCAAGCGUUAUCCGGAAUCAUUGGGUUUAAAGGGUCCGUAGGCGGUCUGGUAAGUCAGUGGUGAAAGCCCAUCGCUCAACGGUGGAACGGCCAUUGAUACUGCUGGACUUGAAUUAUUAGGAAGUAACUAGAAUAUGUAGUGUAGCGGUGAAAUGCUUAGAGAUUACAUGGAAUACCAAUUGCGAAGGCAGGUUACUACUAAUGGAUUGACGCUGAUGGACGAAAGCGUGGGUAGCGAACAGGAUUAGAUACCCUGGUAGUCCACGCCGUAAACGAUGGAUACUAGCUGUUGGAAGCAAUUUCAGUGGCUAAGCGAAAGUGAUAAGUAUCCCACCUGG
rnacentral:rRNA from 1 species